AUGAACGCUAGCGACAGGCUUAACACAUGCAAGUCGAGGGGCAGCACAGGUAGCAAUACCGGGUGGCGACCGGCGCACGGGUGAGUAACGCGUAUGCAACUUGCCUAUCAGAGGGGGAUAACCCGGCGAAAGUCGGACUAAUACCGCAUGAAGCAGGGGCCCCGCAUGGGGAUAUUUGCUAAAGAUUCAUCGCUGAUAGAUAGGCAUGCGUUCCAUUAGGCAGUUGGCGGGGUAACGGCCCACCAAACCGACGAUGGAUAGGGGUUCUGAGAGGAAGGUCCCCCACAUUGGUACUGAGACACGGACCAAACUCCUACGGGAGGCAGCAGUGAGGAAUAUUGGUCAAUGGGCGUAAGCCUGAACCAGCCAAGUCGCGUGAGGGAUGAAGGUUCUAUGGAUCGUAAACCUCUUUUAUAAGGGAAUAAAGUGCGGGACGUGUCCCGUUUUGUAUGUACCUUAUGAAUAAGGAUCGGCUAACUCCGUGCCAGCAGCCGCGGUAAUACGGAGGAUCCGAGCGUUAUCCGGAUUUAUUGGGUUUAAAGGGUGCGUAGGCGGCCUUUUAAGUCAGCGGUGAAAGUCUGUGGCUCAACCAUAGAAUUGCCGUUGAAACUGGGAGGCUUGAGUAUGUUUGAGGCAGGCGGAAUGCGUGGUGUAGCGGUGAAAUGCUUAGAUAUCACGCAGAACCCCGAUUGCGAAGGCAGCCUGCCAAGCCAUUACUGACGCUGAUGCACGAAAGCGUGGGGAUCAAACAGGAUUAGAUACCCUGGUAGUCCACGCAGUAAACGAUGAUCACUAGCUGUUUGCGAUACACUGUAAGCGGCACAGCGAAAGCGUUAAGUGAUCCACCUGGGGAGUACGCCGGCAACGGUGAAACUCAAAGGAAUUGACGGGGGCCCGCACAAGCGGAGGAACAUGUGGUUUAAUUCGAUGAUACGCGAGGAACCUUACCCGGGUUUGAACGCAUUUUGACAGCUCUGGAAACAGAGCCUCUAGCAAUAGCGAUUUGCGAGGUGCUGCAUGGUUGUCGUCAGCUCGUGCCGUGAGGUGUCGGCUUAAGUGCCAUAACGAGCGCAACCCUUGCCACUAGUUACUAACAGGUAAAGCUGAGGACUCUGGUGGGACUGCCAGCGUAAGCUGCGAGGAAGGCGGGGAUGACGUCAAAUCAGCACGGCCCUUACAUCCGGGGCGACACACGUGUUACAAUGGCGUGGACAAAGGGAGGCCACCUGGCGACAGGGAGCGAAUCCCCAAACCACGUCUCAGUUCGGAUCGGAGUCUGCAACCCGACUCCGUGAAGCUGGAUUCGCUAGUAAUCGCGCAUCAGCCAUGGCGCGGUGAAUACGUUCCCGGGCCUUGUACACACCGCCCGUCAAGCCAUGGGAGCCGGGGGUACCUGAAGUCCGUAACCGAAAGGAUCGGCCUAGGGUAAAACUGGUGACUGGGGCU
rnacentral:rRNA from 1 species